rnacentral:tRNA from 1 species
GGUUGUAGUUUAUCAGAACAUUUGAUUUGCAAUUAAACUGAACUUUGGUCGCCCCUUCU